AUGGUGCUCCCGCCGCCGCACAUCGCCGUGGUGGCCUUCCCUUUCAGCUCCCACGCGGCCGUGCUCUUCUCCUUCGCGCGCGCCCUCGCCGCCGCCGCGCCGCCCGGGACGAGCCUCUCGUUCCUCACCACCGCCGACAACGCCGCGCAGCUCGGCAAGGCCGGCGCGCUCCCGGUGAACCUGCGCUUCGUCGAGGUCCCGGACGGGGUGCCUCCGGGCGAGACGAAGUGGCUGCCGCCGCCGCGCCGGAUGGAGCUCUUCAUGGCGGCGGCCGAGGCCGGCGGGGUCAGGGACGGGCUCGAGGCGGCACGCGCCGCCGCGGGCGGCGCCAGGGUGAGCUGCGUCGUCGGGGACGCGUUCGUGUGGAUGGCCGCGGAGGCGGCCGCCGCUGCCGGGGCGCCGUGGGUGGCCGUCUGGACCGCCGCGUCCUGCGCCCUCCUCGCGCACCUCCGCACCGACGCGCUCCGCCGGGACGUCGGCGAUCAGGCCGCGAGCCGAGCCGACGAGCUGCUGACCGCGCACGCCGGCCUCGGCGGCUACCGCGUCCGGGACCUCCCCGACGGCGUCAUCUCCGGCGACUUCAACUACGUCAUCAGCCUCCUGCUCCACCGCAUGGCGCAGCGCCUUCCUAAAGCGGCCACGGCCGUCGCUCUCAAUACCUUCCCGGGACUCGACCCGCCCGAGCUCAGCGCCGCCCUCGCCGCCGAGCUCCCGAACUGCCUGCCCCUCGGCCCCUACCACCUCCUCCCGGGCGCCGAGCCCACAACGGACACCAACGAAGAGCCGACCGACCCGCACGGCUGCCUCGCCUGGCUAGACCGCCGGCCCGCGCGGUCCGUCGCGUACGUCAGCUUCGGCACGAUCGCCUCGGCGCGGCCGGAGGAGCUGCAGGAGCUCGCGGCCGGGCUGGAGGCGAGCGGCGCGCCGUUCCUGUGGUCGCUGCGCGAGGAGUCGUGGCCGCUGCUCCCGCCGGGGUUCCUGGAGCGCGCGCCAGGCCUCGUGGUGCCCUGGGCGCCGCAGGUGGGCGUGCUGCGGCACGCCGCGGUCGGCGCGUUCGUGACGCACGCCGGGUGGGCGUCGGUGCUGGAGGGCGUGUCCAGCGGCGUGCCCAUGGCGUGCCGGCCCUUCUUCGGCGACCAGACGAUGAACGCGCGGUCGGUGGCCAGCGUGUGGGGCUUCGGCACGGCGUUCGACGGGCCGAUGACGCGCGGCGGCGUGGCCAACGCGGUGGCGACCCUACUGCGCGGGGAGGAUGGGGAGCGGAUGAGAGCCAAGGCGCAGGAGCUGCAGGCCAUGGUGGGCAAGGCGUUCGAGCCCGACGGCGGCUGCAGGAAGAACUUCGCCGAGUUCAUCAAGAUAGUUUGUCGGGUGUGA
rnacentral:rRNA from 1 species